UAAGUGACUAAGCGUACACGGUGGAUGCCUGGGCAGUCAGAGGCGAUGAAGGACGUACUAACUUGCGAUAAGCGCAGAUAAGGCAGUAAGAGCCGUUUGAGUCUGCGAUUUCCGAAUGGGGAAACCCAACUGCAUAAGCAGUUACUGUUAACUGAAUACAUAGGUUAACAGAGCAAACCGGGGGAACUGAAACAUCUAAGUACCCCGAGGAGAAGAAAUCAACCGAGAUUCCGGUAGUAGCGGCGAGCGAACCUGGAUUAGCCCUUAAGCACUCGGUGAAGUAGGUGAACAAGCUGGAAAGCUUGGCGAUACAGGGUGAUAGCCCCGUAACCGACGCUUCAUCGAGCGUGAAAUCGAGUAGGGCGGGACACGUGAUAUCCUGUCUGAAUAUGGGGGGACCAUCCUCCAAAGGCUAAAUACUCCUGACUGACCGAUAGUGAACCAGUACCGUGAGGGAAAGGCGAAAAGAACCCCUGUGAGGGGAGUGAAAUAGAACCUGAAACCGUGUACGUACAAGCAGUAGGAGCACCUUCGUGGUGUGACUGCGUACCUUUUGUAUAAUGGGUCAGCGACUUAUAUUCAGUGGCAAGGUUAACCGUAUAGGGGAGCCGUAGCGAAAGCGAGUCUUAACUGGGCGCUCAGUCUCUGGAUAUAGACCCGAAACCGGGUGAUCUAGCCAUGGGCAGGUUGAAGGUUGAGUAACAUCAACUGGAGGACCGAACCGACUAAUGUUGAAAAAUUAGCGGAUGACUUGUGGCUAGGGGUGAAAGGCCAAUCAAACUCGGAGAUAGCUGGUUCUCCCCGAAAGCUAUUUAGGUAGCGCCUCGGACGAAUACUACUGGGGGUAGAGCACUGUUAAGGCUAGGGGGUCAUCCCGACUUACCAACCCUUUGCAAACUCCGAAUACCAGUAAGUACUAUCCGGGAGACACACGGCGGGUGCUAACGUCCGUCGUGGAGAGGGAAACAACCCAGACCGCCAGCUAAGGUCCCAAAGUAUUGCUAAGUGGGAAACGAUGUGGGAAGGCUCAGACAGCUAGGAUGUUGGCUUAGAAGCAGCCAUCAUUUAAAGAAAGCGUAAUAGCUCACUAGUCGAGUCGGCCUGCGCGGAAGAUGUAACGGGGCUAAGCAAUACACCGAAGCUGCGGCAAUAUCUUUUAGAUAUUGGGUAGGGGAGCGUUCUGUAAGCCGUUGAAGGUGAAUCGUAAGGUUUGCUGGAGGUAUCAGAAGUGCGAAUGCUGACAUGAGUAACGACAAAGGGGGUGAAAAACCUCCCUCGCCGGAAGACCAAGGGUUCCUGUCCAACGUUAGUCGGGGCAGGGUGAGUCGACCCCUAAGGUGAGGCCGAAAGGCGUAAUCGAUGGGAAACGGGUUAAUAUUCCCGUACUUCUGACUAUUGCGAUGGGGGGACGGAGAAGGCUAGGUGGGCCAGGCGACGGUUGUCCUGGUUCAAGUGCGUAGGCUUGAGGGUUAGGUAAAUCCGGCUCUCUCUAAGGCUGAGACACGACGUCGAGCUGCUACGGCAGUGAAGUCAUUGAUGCCAUGCUUCCAGGAAAAGCCUCUAAGCUUCAGAUAGUCAGGAAUCGUACCCCAAACCGACACAGGUGGUCGGGUAGAGAAUACCAAGGCGCUUGAGAGAACUCGGGUGAAGGAACUAGGCAAAAUGGUACCGUAACUUCGGGAGAAGGUACGCUCUUGAUGGUGAAGUCCCUCGCGGAUGGAGCUGACGAGAGUCGCAGAUACCAGGUGGCUGCAACUGUUUAUUAAAACACAGCACUGUGCAAAAUCGCAAGAUGACGUAUACGGUGUGACGCCUGCCCGGUGCCGGAAGGUUAAUUGAUGGGGUUAGCGCAAGCGAAGCUCUUGAUCGAAGCCCCGGUAAACGGCGGCCGUAACUAUAACGGUCCUAAGGUAGCGAAAUUCCUUGUCGGGUAAGUUCCGACCUGCACGAAUGGCGUAAUGAUGGCCACGCUGUCUCCACCCGAGACUCAGUGAAAUUGAAAUCGCUGUGAAGAUGCAGUGUACCCGCGGCUAGACGGAAAGACCCCGUGAACCUUUACUACAGCUUGGCACUGAACAUUGAACCUACAUGUGUAGGAUAGGUGGGAGGCUAUGAAGACGUGACGCCAGUUGCGUUGGAGCCGUCCUUGAAAUACCACCCUUGUAUGUUUGAUGUUCUAACUUAGACCCAUUAUCUGGGUUGAGGACAGUGCCUGGUGGGUAGUUUGACUGGGGCGGUCUCCUCCCAAAGAGUAACGGAGGAGCACGAAGGUGGGCUAAUCACGGUUGGACAUCGUGAGGUUAGUGCAAUGGCAUAAGCCCGCUUAACUGCGAGAAUGACGGUUCGAGCAGGUGCGAAAGCAGGUCAUAGUGAUCCGGUGGUUCUGUAUGGAAGGGCCAUCGCUCAACGGAUAAAAGGUACUCCGGGGAUAACAGGCUGAUACCGCCCAAGAGUUCAUAUCGACGGCGGUGUUUGGCACCUCGAUGUCGGCUCAUCACAUCCUGGGGCUGAAGUCGGUCCCAAGGGUAUGGCUGUUCGCCAUUUAAAGUGGUACGCGAGCUGGGUUUAGAACGUCGUGAGACAGUUCGGUCCCUAUCUGCCGUGGGCGUUGGAAGAUUGAAGGGGGCUGCUCCUAGUACGAGAGGACCGGAGUGGACGAACCUCUGGUGUUCGGGUUGUGUCGCCAGACGCAUUGCCCGGUAGCUAAGUUCGGAAUUGAUAAGCGCUGAAAGCAUCUAAGCGCGAAGCGAGCCCUGAGAUGAGUCUUCCCUGAUACUUUAAGUAUCCUAAAGGGUUGUUCGAGACUAGAACGUUGAUAGGCAGGGUGUGUAAGCGUUGUGAGGCGUUGAGCUAACCUGUACUAAUUGCCCGUGAGGCUUAACCA
rnacentral:rRNA from 1 species